rnacentral:rRNA from 1 species
AUUGAACGCUGGCGGCAUGCUUUACACAUGCAAGUCGAACGGUAGCGGGGAGAGCUUGCUCUCUGCCGACGAGUGGCGAACGGGUGAGUAAUGCAUCGGAACGUACCUAGUUGUGGGGGAUAGCCCGGCGAAAGCCGGAUUAAUACCGCAUACGCCCUUUGGGGGAAAGCGGGGGAUCUUCGGACCUCGCGCAAUUGGAGCGGCCGAUGUCGGAUUAGCUAGUAGGUGGGGUAAUGGCUCACCUAGGCGACGAUCCGUAGCUGGUCUGAGAGGAUGAUCAGCCACACUGGGACUGAGACACGGCCCAGACUCCUGCGGGAGGCAGCAGUGGGGAAUUUUGGACAAUGGGCGAAAGCCUGAUCCAGCCAUGCCGCGUGAGUGAAGAAGGCCUUCGGGUUGUAAAGCUCUUUCAGGUGAGAAGAAAUGGCGCUGUCCAAUACAUGGCGUCGAUGACGGUACCACCAGAAGAAGCACCGGCUAACUACGUGCCAGCAGCCGCGGUAAUACGUAGGGUGCGAGCGUUAAUCGGAAUUACUGGGCGUAAAGCGUGCGCAGGCGGUUGUGUAAGACAGGUGUGAAAUCCCCGGGCUUAACCUGGGAACUGCGCUUGUGACUGCACGGCUAGAGUACGGUAGAGGGGGGUGGAAUUCCACGUGUAGCAGUGAAAUGCGUAGAGAUGUGGAGGAACACCGAUGGCGAAGGGCAGCCCCCUGGGCCUGUACUGACGCUCAUGCACGAAAGCGUGGGGAGCAACAGGAUUAGAUACCCUGGUAGUCCACGCCCUAAACGAUGUCGACUAGUUGUUCGGAGAGGAAACUUUCUGAGUAACGCAGCUAACGCGUGAA